rnacentral:rRNA from 1 species
GAGUGGCGAACUGGUGAGUAACACGUGGGAAACCUGCCCAGAAGCGGGGGAUAACACCUGGAAACAGAUGCUAAUACCGCAUAACAACUUGGACCGCAUGGUCCGAGUUUGAAAGAUGGCUUCGGCUAUCACUUUUGGAUGGUCCCGCGGCGUAUUAGCUAGAUGGUGGGGUAACGGCUCACCAUGGCAAUGAUACGUAGCCGACCUGAGAGGGUAAUCGGCCACAUUGGGACUGAGACACGGCCCAAACUCCUACGGGAGGCAGCAGUAGGGAAUCUUCCACAAUGGACGAAAGUCUGAUGGAGCAACGCCGCGUGAGUGAAGAAGGGUUUCGGCUCGUAAAACUCUGUUGUUAAAGAAGAACAUAUCUGAGAGUAACUGUUCAGGUAUUGACGGUAUUUAACCAGAAAGCCACGGCUAACUACGUGCCAGCAGCCGCGGUAAUACGUAGGUGGCAAGCGUUGUCCGGAUUUAUUGGGCGUAAAGCGAGCGCAGGCGGUUUUUUAAGUCUGAUGUGAAAGCCUUCGGCUCAACCGAAGAAGUGCAUCGGAAACUGGGAAACUUGAGUGCAGAAGAGGACAGUGGAACUCCAUGUGUAGCGGUGAAAUGCGUAGAUAUAUGGAAGAACACCAGUGGCGAAGGCGGCUGUCUGGUCUGUAACUGACGCUGAGGCUCGAAAGUAUGGGUAGCAAACAGGAUUAGAUACCCUGGUAGUCCAUACCGUAAACGAUGAAUGCUAAGUGUUGGAGGGUUUCCGCCCUUCAGUGCUGCAGCUAACGCAUUAAGCAUUCCGCCUGGGGAGUACGGCCGCAAGGCUGAAACUCAAAGGAAUUGACGGGGGCCCGCACAAGCGGUGGAGCAUGUGGUUUAAUUCGAAGCUACGCGAAGAACCUUACCAGGUCUUGACAUACUAUGCAAAUCUAAGAGAUUAGACGUUCCCUUCGGGGACAUGGAUACAGGUGGUGCAUGGUUGUCGUCAGCUCGUGUCGUGAGAUGUUGGGUUAAGUCCCGCAACGAGCGCAACCCUUAUUAUCAGUUGCCAGCAUUAAGUUGGGCACUCUGGUGAGACUGCCGGUGACAAACCGGAGGAAGGUGGGGAUGACGUCAAAUCAUCAUGCCCCUUAUGACCUGGGCUACACACGUGCUACAAUGGAUGGUACAACGAGUUGCGAACUCGCGAGAGUAAGCUAAUCUCUUAAAGCCAUUCUCAGUUCGGAUUGUAGGCUGCAACUCGCCUACAUGAAGUCGGAAUCGCUAGUAAUCGCGGAUCAGCAUGCCGCGGUGAAUACGUUCCCGGGCCUUGUACACACCGCCCGUCACACCAUGAGAGUUUGUAACAC